CCAGGUAGCAUUCCUCUUUGACGAUACCUGCCCGCUGGUACAAGCCAAUACGGGCUAGGCAGUCAUUUUAAGAGAAGCGUGAACGCUAAACGAGGGCAGAACAAGGAUCCCAAGGGAUCCCGUGCCCACAUCAGGUUCCGUAUCCAAGAUAACAAGCAGCACUCAAUGUGCCACAACAUCAAUGCAAGCAUUCAAGAUGUGGUGCAAAGAGAUAGCUUCGAGGUCCAUCCGAUGCCACAUUUGUGACACAAGACGAAGGCAACUUCCAUCAAUCAACACAAUACCAUAAUAAGGUAGGCAACACAGGAAACCCACAGUCUGCUUAGUCGAUACACAGCUAAACA
rnacentral:misc_RNA from 1 species